CAAAUAAAAAAUGGUAUAAGCGGUCAUUAUACAGAAG
rnacentral:sRNA from 1 species